CUUGAAUAUAUGUAGAUCUGUGAUUUGCUAUUUUUGUGACUUUUGUCUUGUGUCAACUUGUGUCGGCAACUGAUCAUAAUCAUAGAUGCGAACUGGAAAUCAUUCCAAAAUUCUGUCACGAGACGCCAAAAGGUAAUAUUAAUAUCGAAUAAAGAAAUAAAUCAACGCAUCCGUAAUCAUAAUUAACAGACAACAACUAAAUCAAAAAUGACUUUUUGAUUUUCUC
rnacentral:lncRNA from 1 species